UGGGAAUAUUGCACAAUGGGCGCAAGCCUGAUGCAGCCAUGCCGCGUGUAUGAAGAAGGCCUUCGGGUUGUAAAGUACUUUCAGCGGGGAGGAAGGGAGUAAAGUUAAUACCUUUGCUCAUUGACGUUACCCGCAGAAGAAGCACCGGCUAACUCCGUGCCAGCAGCCGCGGUAAUACGGCGGGUGCAAGCGUUAAUCGGAAUUACUGGGCGUAAAGCGCACGCAGGCGGUUUGUUAAGUCAGAUGUGAAAUCCCCGGGCUGAACCUGGGAACUGCAUCGGAUACUGGCAAGAUUGAGUGUCGUAGAGGGGGGUAGAAUUCCAGGUGUAGCGGUGAAAUGCGUAGAGAUCUGGAGGAAUAAUGGUGGCGAAGGCGGACCCCUGGACGAAGACUGACGCUCAGGUGCGAAAGCGUGGGGAGCAAACAGG
rnacentral:rRNA from 1 species